AUUGAACGCUGGCGGCAUGCCUUACACAUGCAAGUCGAACGGCAGCACGGGAGCAAUCCUGGUGGCGAGUGGCGAACGGGUGAGUAAAGUAUCGGAACGUGCCCAGUCGUGGGGGAUAACGUAGCGAAAGUUACGCUAAUACCGCGUACGAUCUAUGGAUGAAAGCGGGGGAUCGCAAGACCUCGCGCGAUUGGAGCGGCCGAUAUCAGAUUAGGUAGUUGGUGGGGUAAAGGCUCACCAAGCCGACGAUCUGUAGCUGGUCUGAGAGGACGACCAGCCACACUGGGACUGAGACACGGCCCAGACUCCUACGGGAGGCAGCAGUGGGGAAUUUUGGACAAUGGGCGCAAGCCUGAUCCAGCCAUGCCGCGUGCAGGAUGAAGGCCUUCGGGUUGUAAACUGCUUUUGUACGGAACGAAAAGGUUUGACUUAAUACGUUGGACUCAUGACGGUACCGUAAGAAUAAGCACCGGCUAACUACGUGUCAGCAGCCGCCGUAA
rnacentral:rRNA from 1 species